rnacentral:tRNA from 1 species
AACUACUUGGUGGAACGGUAGACACGAGAGACUUAAAAUCUCUUAGCUUUUUAGCUGUGCAGGUUCGAAUCCUGCAGUAGUAA